GUCAGCUUAGAUUGUUCAGUUGGUUAGAGCGUGGUGCUGAUGACGCCACGAUUGCAGGUUCGAUCCCAGUGUGGGAUA